UACGUAGGGUGCGAGCGUUGUCCGGAAUUAUUGGGCGUAAAGAGUUCGUAGGCGGUUCGGUAAGUGAGGUGUGAAAGCCCUCGGCUCAACCGAGGAAUUGCGCUUCAAACUGCCGGGCUCGAGGGAGAUAGAGGUGAGCGGAACUGAUGGUGGAGCGGUGAAAUGCGUUGAUAUCAUCAGGAACACCAGAGGCGAAGGCGGCUCACUGGGUCUCUUCUGACGCUGAGGAACGAAAGCUAGGGGAGCAAACGGG
rnacentral:rRNA from 1 species